rfam:Neurospora crassa OR74A linkage group III, whole genome shotgun sequence.
GCCUGCUUAGCAUAGUGGCUAAUGCGUUGCACUUGUAUAACCUUGUCCCUUAGAUCCGUGGGUAACUCCCAAAGAAAAGUGGGUCAUUGUCUCGACAUGCAAAGAUCACAGGUUCGAUUCCUGUAGUAGGCA